rnacentral:rRNA from 1 species
GAUCCUGGCUCAGGACGAACGCUGGCGGCGUGCCUAAUACAUGCAAGUCGAGCGGAGGUUAUUGAGUAGUAAUACGAGAUGACCUUAGCGGCGGACGGGUGAGUAACGCGUGAGCAACCUGGCCUAUACAGGGGGAUAACAGGGAGAAAUUCCUGCUAAUACCGCAUAAGACCACAGUAUCGCAUGGUACUGGGGUCAAAGGAGAGAUUCGGUAUAGGAUGGGCUCGCGUCCCAUUAG